rnacentral:rRNA from 1 species
UACGGAGGAUGCGAGCGUUAUCCGGAUUUAUUGGGUUUAAAGGGUGCGUAGGCGGUCCGUUAAGUCAGCGGUAAAAUUGCGGGGCUCAACCCCGUCGAGCCGUUGAAACUGGCAGACUUGAGUUGGCGAGAAGUACGCGGAAUGCGCGGUGUAGCGGUGAAAUGCAUAGAUAUCGCGCAGAACUCCGAUUGCGAAGGCAGCGUACCGGCGCCAGACUGACGCUGAGGCACGAAAGCGUGGGGAUC